AGAUAGAAACCAACCUGGCUCACACCGGUCUGAACUCAAAUCAUGUAAAGUUUUAAAGGUCGAACAGACCUUCUAUUAUAGCCUCUACUCCAUAAAGAACCUUUAAUUCAACAUCGAGGUCGCAAACUCUCUUAUCGAUAAGAACUCUUAAAGAAAAUUACGCUGUUAUCCCUAAAGUAACUUAAUCUUUUAAUCCAUUUUAGGAUCAUUAACCCAAACAUUUUUGUUAGAAAAAAAAACAGUUACUUUUUAUUCUAUUCUUGUCGCCCCAACCAAAUAUCUCAAAACAAUAAUCUUUAAACAAAACUCACCUACUACUCUUCGAUAUAAAGUUUUAUAGGGUCUUAUCGUCCCUUCAGACUAUUUAAGCCUUUUCACUUAAAAGUUAAAUUCAAUAUAUUAAUUUAAGACAGAUUAUUUCUUGUCCAACCAUUCAUUCUAGCCUUCAAUUAAAAAACUAAUGAUUAUGCUACCUUCGCACGGUC
rnacentral:rRNA from 1 species